rnacentral:rRNA from 1 species
GGGGGGGGGGGGGGGGGGGGCGGGGGGGGGCGGGUCGGGCGGGGGGACGAGGGGGUGGCUUCUCUGAUGUUAGCGGCGGACGGGUGAGUAACACGUGGAUAACCUACCUAUAAGACUGGGAUAACUUCGGGAAACCGGAGCUAAUACCGGAUAAUAUUUUGAACCGCAUGGUUCAAAAGUGAAAGACGGUCUUGCUGUCACUUAUAGAUGGAUCCGCGCUGCAUUAGCUAGUUGGUAAGGUAACGGCUUACCAAGGCAACGAUGCAUAGCCGACCUGAGAGGGUGAGCGGCCACACUGGAACUGAGACACGGUCCAGACUCCUACGGGAGGCAGCAGUAGGGAAUCUUCCGCAAUGGGCGAAAGCCUGACGGAGCAACGCCGCGUGAGUGAUGAAGGUCUUCGGAUCGUAAAACUCUGUUAUUAGGGAAGAACAUAUGUGUAAGUAACUGUGCACAUCUUGACGGUACCUAAUCAGAAAGCCACGGCUAACUACGUG